CUUUACUAAAAAAAAAUCAGAUUUUUAAUAUUGUUGUAUCUUAUUAUACUGUAUACUUAAUUUGCAAUUUAGUUAGAUCUAUAUUGGCACGGAAGUUUACAAUACAAAAACUCGCAUUUAUAAAUAAAUACGACUCAUCACUGUAUGAGUUGAUACGAAUUGAAAUAACCACGUGUUUCCGCUGUGGUGUAAACAUGAUGGUGAUCCGAAAUCUGAACGUCAAUUUUCAUGAUUAUUUCACGACGAAGAUCAUCACAUCAAUGAAUCAAAUAAUACGGACAUGCCUUUGGUAUUAGCAGGGUGCAGGCACCAUAUGCAACAAUACUUUCAUCUGUGAAUACCCACUUGCUAAGCCCACCAUGAACUACGAAGGCCAAUUAAUAUGUAAGGACACCAAUGAACAGACUCUUUCCAAUUAUCGUACAUCAUAUACAUAGGUGGUCAAACUCAUUGGAUGGUUUGUCAACAAUCUCAUUCUCACGAACAGCCUUGCCCCAGGAAUUUUGCCCUGAAGUAACAUUUGCAGUCAAUUGUCUCCUUUCCUUUUACAACCUUGGCAGCCAUGCAGGAUAGAAGCUGAUCACUUGUACUUGACAGCAAAUAAUAAUGUCUUGGACAAGUCAAAGAACUUCCUCCAGUCUUACAGAGAAAUGACAGUUGAUAAAAGAAUGGUGGACACAAAGUAAAAGUGCUCUUCAACAUUUUGUUGAAGAUUUCAGUCUGAUUUGGAUUUCAUCUUGCAAUAUUUCUGUAUUUGUAUAUUUGGA